AAACAUUUAGUAGUGAACCACAAAUUUAUCUUCGUCUGAUCAUUUCAAUCGUUGGUAGUAUACAUCAAACUUUAAAUUUAUAAUAAUGAAACAUUUCUUUGUUUUAACAUCAUUUGUCUUUGUUAAUGUAUUGGCAGAUAUAGAUCAUUACACGAAGGAGGUUUUCAUUACAAACAAAUACAUCAAGGCAGCUUCUGAACAAAAUGAUAUUUUAAAAGGAAAUGGCCUGGAACAUGUAAUAAAAACAAUUGUUUAUGAAAAAACAUAUAUUAUGG